AGCUUUUUUGAAUUUUUAAAAAGUAAUUUCUGCCCGGGGUAUAUAUUAACGGCCGCGGUAUUUUGACCGUGCGAAGGUAGCAUAAUCAUUUGUCUUAUAAUUGAAGACUGGAAUGAAAGAAUUUACGAAGGAGAAUCUGUCUUUAUUAAGUUAUUAAAAUUUAUUGUUAAAGUGAAGAAACUUUUAAGAAAAAAUUAGACAAGAAGACCCUAUUGAGCUUUACUUUUUUUAUUUAUAAAAUAUAUUUAAAUUUUAUUUUUAUAUUUAAAAUUAGUUUGAUUGGGGCGAUUGAGGAAAUAUUUUAUAAACUUCCUUUUUUUUUUUAACUUAUUAGUGUUUGAUCCAUUAUUUAUGAUUAAAAGAAAAAGUUACCAUAGGGAUAACAGCGUAAUCUUUUUUUAGAGUUCUUAUCAAAAAAAAGGUUUGCGACCUCGAUGUUGGACUAAAAUAUCCCAAAGGUGCAGGUGCUUUUGAUGGKGGGUCUGUUCAACCUUUAAAAUCUU
rnacentral:rRNA from 1 species